rnacentral:rRNA from 1 species
UACGAAGGGGGCUAGCGUUGUUCGGAAUUACUGGGCGUAAAGCGCACGUAGGCGGAUACUUAAGUCAGGGGUGAAAUCCCGGGGCUCAACCCCGGAACUGCCUUUGAUACUGGGUAUCUCGAGUCCGGAAGAGGUGAGUGGAAUUCCGAGUGUAGAGGUGAAAUUCGUAGAUAUUCGGAGGAACACCAGUGGCGAAGGCGGCUCGCUGGUCCGGUACUGACGCUGAGGUGCGAAAGCGUGGGGAGCAAACAGG